UACGAAGGGGGCUAGCGUUGUUCGGAAUUACUGGGCGUAAGCGCACGUAGGCGGAUAUUUAAGUCAGGGGUGAAAUCCCAGAGCUCAACUCUGGAACUGCCUUUGAUACUGGGUAUCUUGAGUAUGGAAGAGGUGAGUGGAAUUCCGAGUGUAGAGGUGAAAUUCGUAGAUAUUCGGAGGAACACCAGUGGCGAAGGCGGCUCACUGGUCCAUUACUGACGCUGAGGUGCGAAAGCGUGGGGAGCAAACAGG
rnacentral:rRNA from 1 species